rnacentral:rRNA from 1 species
CUUUUGACCUCGGAUCAGGUAGGGAUACCCGCUGAACUUAAGCAUAUCAAUAAGCGGAGGAAAAGAAACCAACAGGGAUUGCCCUAGUAACGGCGAGUGAAGCGGCAACAGCUCAAAUUUGAAAUCUGGCUCUUUUAGAGUCCGAGUUGUAAUUUGCAGAGGGCGCUUUGGCUUUGGCAGCGGUCCAAGUUCCUUGGAACAGGACGUCACAGAGGGUGAGAAUCCCGUACGUGGUCGCUGGCUAUUGCCGUGUAAAGCCCCUUCGACGAGUCGAGUUGUUUGGGAAUGCAGCUCUAAAUGGGAGGUACAUUUCUUCUAAAGCUAAAUAUUGGCCAGAGACCGAUAGCGCACAAGUAGAGUGAUCGAAAGAUGAAAAGCACUUUGGAAAGAGAGUCAAACAGCACGUGAAAUUGUUGAAAGGGAAGCGCUUGCAGCCAGACUUGCUUACAGUUGCUCAUCCGGGUUUCUACCCGGUGCACUCUUCUGUAGGCAGGCCAGCAUCAGUUUGGGCGGUAGGAUAAAGGUCUCUGUCACGUACCUCCUUUCGGGGAGGCCUUAUAGGGGAGACGACAUACUACCAGCCUGGACUGAGGUCCGCGCAUCUGCUAGGGAUGCUGGCGUAAUGCUAACU